rnacentral:misc_RNA from 1 species
GAAAUGCGAUAAGUAAUGUGAAUUGCAGAAUUCGUGAAUCAUCGAAUCUUUGAACGCACCUUGCGCUCCUUGGUAUUCCUUGGAGCAUGCCUGUUUGAGUAUCAUGAAAUCUUCAAAGUAAAUCUUUUGUUAACUCAAUUGGUUUCUACUUUGGUAUUGGAGGUCUUUGCAGCUUCACACCUGCUCCUCUUUGUUCAUUAGCUGGAUCUCAGUGUUAUGCUUGGUUCCACUCGGCGUGAUAAGUUAUCUAUCGCUGAGGACACUGUAAAAGGUGGCCAAGGUAAAUGCAGAUGAACCGCUUCUAAUAGUCCAUUGACUUGGACAAUACUUUUAUGAUCUGAUCUCAAAUCAGGUAGGACUACCCGCUGAACUUAAGC